rnacentral:lncRNA from 13 species
AGGACUCUGACUAAUACAGUGUCCUUCCUGGAAAACACCCCCAUUUUACACAUGGAGCAGCAGCCUCCUUCCAACCCAGCUCACACUCAUCCUCCUCCUGGUAUCAGCAGCCUGAGUUUCUUCUGGGGACCUGCCCUUUCCCUGGUCUCAGUCCACAGGGUUCAUCCAGGGCUGACCCCACCUUAGGCUCCGGGAAAUGAUUUGGACCUGGCCAAAGACCAGCUUCCUCUGGCCACAGCCACAGUGCAGAGAUAGACAGGUGAGCCAGCUUGGCCAAUGGAAAUGCUGCUUUGCCUGUGGCUGGAACUUUCCAGAAGGAGACUGCUUCCUUGGCUGUACUGGGGGAUGGUCAGAGCUUGGCCCUAGGAUGUGUUUGUCAAGUGAACGAAUGAAUGAAUAAAUAAAUGAAUGAGAGCACCACCCUUGGAUCAGGCUGCCUUGAUUGGCACUGCAAAAUCUGUUCUGCCAAUGCCAAAUCCAGUCUCCCCAUCCUGGUAUCUGCACUGUAUGGAGUCCCUACCUGAGGCUGAUCUGUCACAUUCAAGUGCUUCUUUCAAAUACCAAAGCAAUUUCCACCCAGGAGAGAGAGUGAGUUUAAAGGAUUUUCCCAAAGUCACAUGGCUGGUCCUCAGAUUCUGUUAAGAGCAGCAAUGGCCCGGUGUAAAAUUAGUUUCCCAGAUGUUCUGGUAGCUGGCAUUGCUGUUCGACGCAAUGGGAAGCAAAGAGCAGCCUGUAUCUUCAGGCUACUAAGAAAACUAUUGCUUCGAGACCGUCCUGGUCAACAUGGUGAAACCCCGUCUCUACUAAAAAUACAAAACAAUUAGCUGGGCAUGGUGGCACGUGCCUGUAAUCCCAGCUACUCAGGAGGCUGAGGCAGGAGAAUUGCCUGAACCCAGGAGGCGGAGGUUGCCGUGAGCCAAGAUUGCGCCAUUGCACUCCAGCCUGGGUAACAAGAGCGAAACUCCGUCUCAAAAAAAAAAAAAAAAAAAAAAAGAAAAUGAAAACUAUUGCUUUCUGGUUUAUAAAGGACUGAUUUUUGAGAACACAUGAUGGAAGCCACCCCUUACUCUGGAAAAGGAGCCAGAGAAAGACUCUGGUCAUUGAUGAUAUCACGGGAUGAUACAUCAGCCCCAAACUCCACCCCUGGGCUCCUGGACUAUUUCUAAUUCCAGGAUAAUCAUGCUUCAGUCAUUAUUAAGGAUAUUUUAGGAUACUAUAUGAUAAAUCCUUGUAUUUCCCAGAGGAAAUGAAGAAUGG